GUGUGGGAUGGAGGGAGGAAAGGCCAGCACUCCCCUCAUGGGAGGGAAGACACCCUCGGGCCUGACAGGACACAUAGGUGUCACCCAUGUCACCCACUUGGUGACAUCCAACUGGGUCAUAA